AAAUGUUGGGUUAAGUCCCGCAACGAGCGCAACCCUUAUCCUUUGUUGCCAGCGGUCCGGCCGGGAACUCAAAGGAGACUGCCAGUGAUAAACUGGAGGAAGGUGGGGAUGACGUCAAGUCAUCAUGGCCCUUACGACCAGGGCUACACACGUGCUACAAUGGCGCAUACAAAGAGAAGCGACCUCGCGAGAGCAAGCGGACCUCAUAAAGUGCGUCGUAGUCCGGAUUGGAGUCUGCAACUCGACUCCAUGAAGUCGGAAUCGCUAGUAAUCGUGGAUCAGAAUGCCACGGUGAAUACGUUCCCGGGCCUUGUACACACCGCCCGUCACACCAUGGGAGUGGGUUGCAAAAGAAGUAGGUAGCUUAACCUUCGGGAGGGCGCUUACCACUUUGUGAUUCAUGACUGGGGUGAAGUCGUAACAAGGUAACCGUAGGGGAACCUGCGGUUGGAUCACCUCCUUACCUUAAAGAAGC
rnacentral:rRNA from 1 species